GAUAAACGCUGGCGGCGCACAUAAGACAUGCAAGUCGAACGGACGGAAAUUCUUGCUUGCAAGAAUGGAAGUUAGUGGCGGACUGGUGAGUAACACGUAAGCAAUCUGCCUAUCAGAGGGGAAUAACAGUGAGAAAUCAUUGCUAAUACCGCAUAUGCUUAGAGUAUCACAUGGUACAAUAAGGAAAGGAGCAAUCCGCUGAUAGAAGAGCUCGCGUCUGAUUAGCUAGUAGGUGGGGCAAUGGCCUACCUAGGCGACGAUCAGUAGCCGGACUGAGAGGUUGAACGGCCACAUUGGGACUGAGAUACGGCCCAGACUCCUACGGGAGGCAGCAGUCGGGAAUAUUGCGCAAUGGAGGGAACUCUGACGCAGUGACGCCGCGUAUAGGAAGAAGGUUUUCGGAUUGUAAACUAUUGUCGUUAGGGAAGAAAAAGACAGUACCUAAGGAGGAAGCUCCGGCUAACUAUGUGCCAGCAGCCGCGGUAAUACAUAGGGAGCAAGCGUUAUCCGGAUUUAUUGGGUGUAAAGGGUGCGUAGACGGGAAAUUAAGUUAGUUGUGAAAUUCCUUUGGCUUAACCAAGGAACUGCAACUAAAACUGGUAUUCUUGAGUGUCGGAGAGGAAAGUGGAAUUCCUAGUGUAGUGGUGAAAUGCGUAGAUAUUAGGAGGAACACCAGUGGCGAAGGCGACUUUCUGGACGAUAACUGACGUUGAGGCACGAAAGUGUGGGGAGCAAACAGGAUUAGAUACCCUGGUAGUCCACACUGUAAACGAUGGAUACUAGGUGUAGGCUGUGUUAAACAGUCUGUGCCGUCGCAAACGCAUUAAGUAUCCCACCUGGGGAGUACGACCGCAAGGUUGAAACUCAAAGGAAUUGACGGGGGCCCGCACAAGCAGUGGAGUAUGUGGUUUAAUUCGAAGCGACGCGAAGAAUCUUACCAGGGCUUGACAUGACAAUGAAUAUAUAAGAGAUUAUAUAGCUUUUCGGAGCAUUGUUGCAGGUGGUGCAUGGUUGUCGUCAGCUCGUGUCGUGAGAUGUUGGGUUAAGUCCCGCAACGAGCGCAACCCCUGUUGCUAGUUGCCAGCACAUAAUGGUGGGAACUCUAGCAAGACUGCCGGUGAUAAAUCGGAGGAAGGUGGGGAUGACGUCAAAUCAUCAUGCCCUUUAUGUCCUGGGCUACACACGUACUACAAUGGCUAUUACAGAGGGAAGCUAAGCCGCGAGGUGGAGCGAAACCCAAAAAAUAGUCUCAGUUCGGAUUGCAGGCUGAAAUUCGCCUGCAUGAAGCUGGAAUUGCUAGUAAUGGCAGGUCAGCAUACUGCCGUGAAUACGUUCCCGGGCCUUGUACACACCGCCCGUCACACCAUGAGAGUUGGGGAUGCCCGAAGCCUGUGAGCCAACGUAAGGGGCAGCAGUCGAAGGUAGAAUCAAUGAUUGGGGUG
rnacentral:rRNA from 2 species